GGAGGGAGUUUCCACUUGGUCACGACUCAAAAAUGUGUCGCGGCCGCUCCUCCGCCGGUCGUCCCUGCUUCAGGGUGUGUCUGUGGGGUCUCCUCCCUGCGAGGGAAGGAGCAAAGGGGCCAGGGAAGGGAUUGCUCCUCUCCCCUGGGAAAGGAUCGUAGUGUGAGCAACAACCAGGGCCACUUCCAGAAUAAACACCCCACCCACAGUCAGCCCCAGCCCUGGACUCUCCACAGGACCAGCACCAACCAACAGAUUGCUGGAGUGUUGCUCACUGCUCACACUGCCCAUGGCUCAAGCCACACUGGGGGAAGCCUUUCCCAGGAGCGUCCCCUGAGCACCCUGCAAUCCCGGAUCCCAUGGACUGAUGCUCCACAGGUCAGGAGUGAGGCUUCGAAAGGCAGAGAUUGGCUACAGUCACUUUUUUUUUUCCUUCUUCUUUUUUCUCCACCACCGCCUGGCUGUCUCCCAUUUUUUUCAAGCCUAAGGUCUCAAGCUUACAGAGAUCUACCUGCUUCUGAGUGUUGGUAUUAAAGGUCCAUGCCACUACAC